rnacentral:rRNA from 1 species
UACGGAGGGUCCAAGCGUUAUCCGGAAUCAUUGGGUUUAAAGGGUCCGUAGGCGGUUUUGUAAGUCAGUGGUGAAAGCCCAUCGCUCAACGGUGGAACGGCCAUUGAUACUGCAAGACUUGAAUUAUUAGGAAGUAACUAGAAUAUGUAGUGUAGCGGUGAAAUGCUUAGAGAUUACAUGGAAUACCAAUUGCGAAGGCAGGUUGCUACUAAUGGAUUGACGCUGAUGGACGAAAGCGUGGGGAGCGAACAGG